GGCCCUGUGGCCUAAUGGCAAGGCGCUGGACUUCGGAUCCAGAGAUUGGGGGUUCGAGUCCCCUCGGGGUCG